AUACGGAGGGUGCGAGCGUUAAUCGGAAUUACUGGGCGUAAAGCGCGCGUAGGCGGUUUUGUAAGUCGGAUGUGAAAGCCCCGGGCUUAACCUGGGAACUGCAUUCGAAACUGCAAGACUGGAGUAUGGGAGGGGGAAGUGGAAUUCCUGGUGUAGCGGUGAAAUGCGUAGAUAUCAGGAGGAACAUCAGUGGCGAAGGCGACUCACUGGACUAAUACUGACGCUGAGGUGCGAAAGCGUGGGGAGCAAACAGGAUUAGAAACCCGAGUAGUCC
rnacentral:rRNA from 1 species